AAACUAAAGGAAUUGACGGGGGCCCGCACAAGCGGUGGAGCAUGUGGUUUAAUUCGAUGCAACGCGAAGAACCUUACCUGGUCUUGACAUCCACGGAAGUUUUCAGAGAUGAGAAUGUGCCUUCGGGAACCGUGAGACAGGUGCUGCAUGGCUGUCGUCAGCUCGUGUUGUGAAAUGUUGGGUUAAGUCCCGCAACGAGCGCAACCCUUAUCCUUUGUUGCCAGCGGUCCGGCCGGGAACUCAAAGGAGACUGCCAGUGAUAAACUGGAGGAAGGUGGGGAUGACGUCAAGUCAUCAUGGCCCUUACGACCAGGGCUACACACGUGCUACAAUGGCGCAUACAAAGAGAAGCGACCUCGCGAGAGCAAGCGGACCUCAUAAAGUGCGUCGUAGUCCGGAUUGGAGUCUGCAACUCGACUCCAUGAAGUCGGAAUCGCUAGUAAUCGUGGAUCAGAAUGCCACGGUGAAUACGCUCCCGGGCCUU
rnacentral:rRNA from 1 species